GAUGAACGCUGGCGGCGUGCUUAACACAUGCAAGUCGAACGGAAAGGCCCAAGCUUGCUUGGGUACUCGAGUGGCGAACGGGUGAGUAACACGUGGGUGAUCUGCCCUGCACUUCGGGAUAAGCCUGGGAAACUGGGUCUAAUACCGGAUAGGACCACUUCUUGGAUGUUGUGGUGGACAGUUUUUUCGGUGUGGGAUGAGCUCGCGGCCUAUCAGCUUGUUGGUGGGGUAAUGACCUACCAAGGCGUCGACGGGUAGCCGGCCUGAGAGGGUGUACGGCCACAUUGGGACUGAGAUACGGCCCAGACUCCUACGGGAGGCAGCAGUGGGGAAUAUUGCACAAUGGGCGCAAGCCUGAUGCAGCGACGCCGCGUGGGGGAUGACGGCCUUCGGGUUGGAAACUCCUUUCGCUAGGGACGAAGCGUUUUGUGACGGUACCUGGAGAAGAAGCACCGGCUAACUACGUG
rnacentral:rRNA from 1 species